GAUGAAGAAGCAGCGAAAUGCGAUAAGUAAUGUGAAUUGCAGAAUUCAGUGAAUCAUCGAAUCUUUGAACGCACAUUGCGCCCGCCAGUAUUCUGGCGGGCAUGCCUGUUCGAGCGUCAUUACAACCCUCAGGCCCCCGGGCCUGGCGUUGGGGAUCGGCGGAGCCCCCCGUGGGCACACGCCGUCCCCCAAAUGCAGUGGCGGUCCCGCCGCAGCUUCCAUCGCGUAGUAGCUAACACCUCGCGACUGGAGAGCGGCGCGGCCACGCCGUAAAACACCCAACUCUUCUGAAGUUGACCUCGAAUCAGGUAGGAAUACCCGCUGAACUUAAGCAUAUCAAUAAGCGGAGGA
rnacentral:misc_RNA from 1 species